AAAAAAAAAAAAAUUUAAAAAAAAAAAAAAAAAAAAAAAAAAAAAAAAGUCUAUUUUCACAGAAUACAAUACUCAAGAAUCAAGAAAAAAAAUUCUAGAAACAAUAUCAAUUUAGAAGAGGGUAAUCUGCAACUUCUAAUACGCUUAUGACUUAUCAAGAGGAAGAGAUAAUCUACUCUUAAUUAAGAAAGGACAAAGCUCUGAUAUUGUAUGUGCACUCUUGUCAAUCUAUUAACAAUACAAACUAGAAGAAGAUGCAUAAAAUUAUAGAAUCUGUGUCAAAAAAAAAUGACAAAAUAGAAGAAAG
rnacentral:lncRNA from 1 species